CCUACGGGAGGCUGCAGUAGGGAAUAUUGGUCAAUGGGCGCAAGCCUGAACCAGCCAUGCCGCGUGCAGGAUGACGGCCUAUGGGUUGUAAACUGCUUUUGUACGGGAAGCGGUACCGUGAGAAUAAGGAUCGGCUAACUUCGUGCCAGCAGCCGCGGUAAUACGAAGGAUCCUAGCGUUGUCCGGAUUUACUGGGUUUAAAGGGUGCGUAGGCGGACUUUUAAGUCAGUGGUGAAAGCCUGCAGCUUAACUGUAGAAUUGCCAUUGAAACUGAUUGUCUCGAGUGCGGUUGAGGUCACUGGAAUGUAUCAUGUAGCGGUGAAAUGCUUAGAUAUGAUACAGAACACCAAUUGCGAAGGCAGGUGACUAAGCCGUACUGACGCUGAUGCACGAAAGCGUGGGGAUCAAACAGGAUUAGAUACCCGAGUAGUC
rnacentral:rRNA from 1 species